GAAAUGCGAUAAGUAAUGUGAAUUGCAGAAUUCAGUGAAUCAUCGAAUCUUUGAACGCACAUUGCGCCCGGCAGCAAUCUGCCGGGCUUGCCUGUCCGAGCGUCAUUUCUGCCCUCGAGCGCGGUUCGGCCCCUAGCGGGCCGGCCGCCGCCCGGUGUUGGGGCGCUGCGGGCCCUCGUGCCCGCAGGCCCUGAAAUGAAGUGGCGGUCCCGCCGCGGCGCCCCCUGCGUAGUAGUAAAGCACCUCGCAUCGGGUCCCGGCGGAGGCCAGCCGUCGAACCUCUCUUUUGAUGGUUUGACCUCGGAUCAGGUAGGGUUACCCGCUGAACUUAAGC
rnacentral:misc_RNA from 1 species